GAGCGAGAAAAGGGCUUCGGCCCUGAGUAAAGCGGCGGACGGGUGAGUAACACGUAGGUAAUCUUCCCUUGAGCGGGGGACAACGUUCCGAAAGGGACGCUAAUACCGCAUAAGUUCUUCGAGACUCCGGUCUUGGAGAGGAAAGCUAGGUAGCAAUAUCCGGCACUCGAGGAGGAGCCUACGUCGCAUCAGCUAGUUGGUGGGGUAACGGCCUACCAAGGCGAAGACGCGUAGCUGGUCUGAGAGGAUGAUCAGCCACACUGGGACUGAGACACGGCCCAGACUCCUACGGGAGGCAGCAGUGGGGAAUAUUGGACAAUGGGCGCAAGCCUGAUCCAGCCACGCCGCGUGAGUGAUGAAGGCCUUCGGGUCGUANAGCUCUGUGGGGAGGGACGAACCGCUGCGAAUUAUACCUCGCAGCAUGACGGUACCCUCCUUAGCAGCACCGGCUAACUUCGUG
rnacentral:rRNA from 1 species